rnacentral:ncRNA from 2 species
UAGCAACUCUCGGGGUGCGCUUGGGAUUAAGACUUCCGCCAAUGGGCUGUCUUGAAUCAAGAGCUGAGAUGCAUUUGCAAACCCGUAUAACCUGAUCCGACUCGCAUCGGCGUAGGGAAGAGUAAUGUCACAAGC